rnacentral:rRNA from 1 species
GAUGAACGCUAGCGGCAGGCCUAACACAUGCAAGUCGAGGGGUAGAGUUAGCUUGCUAACUUGAGACCGGCGCACGGGUGCGUAACGCGUAUGCAAUCUACCUUGUACAGGGGGAUAGCCCAGAGAAAUUUGGAUUAAUACCCCAUGGUGUUUAGAAGUGGCAUCACUUUUUUACUAAAGUUCCAACGGUACAAGAUGAGCAUGCGUCCCAUUAGCUAGUUGGUAUGGUAACGGCAUACCAAGGCUAUGAUGGGUAGGGGUCCUGAGAGGGAGAUCCCCCACACUGGUACUGAGACACGGACCAGACUCCUACGGGAGACAGCAGUGAGGAAUAUUGGUCAAUGGUCGCAAGACUGAACCAGCCAUGCCGCGUGCAGGAAGACGGUCCUAUGGAUUGUAAACUGCUUUUAUACAGGAAGAAACCCUCUCACGUGUGGGAGCUUGACGGUACUGUAUGAAUAAGCAUCGGCUAACUCCGUGCCAGCCGCCGCAGUAA